rnacentral:rRNA from 1 species
UCCCAUCCCGAACUCGGCAGUUAAGCCGCUAUGCGCCGAUGGUAGUCUGGGAACGCCCAGGCAAGAGUAGGUACUGCCAGGG